rnacentral:rRNA from 1 species
AUUGAACGCUGGCGGCAGGCCUAACACAUGCAAGUCGAGCGGAUGAGGGGAGCUUGCUCCUGGAUUCAGCGGCGGACGGGUGAGUAAUGCCUAGGAAUCUGCCUGGUAGUGGGGGAUAACGUCCGGAAACGGGCGCUAAUACCGCAUACGUCCUGAGGGAGAAAGUGGGGGAUCUUCGGACCUCACGCUAUCAGAUGAGCCUAGGUCGGAUUAGCUAGUUGGUGGGGUAAAGGCCUACCAAGGCGACGAUCCGUAACUGGUCUGAGAGGAUGAUCAGUCACACUGGAACUGAGACACGGUCCAGACUCCUACGGGAGGCAGCAGUGGGGAAUAUUGGACAAUGGGCGAAAGCCUGAUCCAGCCAUGCCGCGUGUGUGAAGAAGGUCUUCGGAUUGUAAAGCACUUUAAGUUGGGAGGAAGGGCAGUAAGUUAAUACCUUGCUGUUUUGGCGUUACCAACAGAAUAAGCACCGGCUAACUUCGUG